AUUGAACGCUGGCGGCAGGCCUAACACAUGCAAGUCGAGCGAGCGGCGGACGGGUGAGUAAUGUAUGGGGACUGCCCGAUAGAGGGGGGUAACUACGGGAAACGGUAGCUAAUACCGCAUACUAUCGGAUAACCCAUAUGGGAUUAGCUAGUAGGUGAGGUAAUGGCUCACCUAGGCGACGAUCCCUAGCUGGUCUGAGAGGAUGAUCAGCCACACUGGGACGGAGACACGGCCAAGACGCCUACGGAGGCAGCAUUGGGGAAUAUUGCACAAGGGGCGCAAGCCUGAUGCAGCCAUGCCGCGUGUAUGAUGAAGGCCGUCGGGUUGUAAAGUACUUUUGGCAGAGAAGCGGUAUCUGCAGAAUAAGCACCGGCUAACUACGUGCCAGCCGCCGCGGUAAUUC
rnacentral:rRNA from 1 species